AAUGAGCCGAAACUUACUAGGACAAGUGCGGGGGACGAUUUAACGAAAGGCCGAUUUGAAAUGGAGUCAUUUACAGAUUGGCUAUCUUGGGGUGAAGCGCGGCUGAUAAAGUAACAAAAAAUGAAUCUAUCAUUUGUUACUAUUCUCGCGUAGGGAAGCUUCCUUUUCCCGAAUCCGACAACUAACUCCGCAGGCGAAAUCAAAG
rnacentral:sRNA from 1 species